GAUGAACGCUGGCGGCGUGCUUAACACAUGCCAGUCGAACGGAAAGGCCAGUGCUUGCACUGGUACUCGAGUGGCGAACGGGUGAGUAACACGCGGGUGAUCUGCCCUGCACUUCGGGAUAAGCCUGGGAAACUGGGUCUAAUACCGGAUAGGACAAUGGUUUGGAUGCCGUUGUGGAAAGUUUUUUCGGUGUGGGAUGAGCUCGCGGCCUAUCAGCUUGUUGGUGGGGUAAUGGCCUACCAAGGCGUCGACGGGUAGCCGGCCUGAGAGGGUGUACGGCCACAUUGGGACUGAGAUACGGCCCAGACUCCUACGGGAGGCAGCAGUGGGGAAUAUUGCACAAUGGGCGCAAGCCUGAUGCAGCGACGCCGCGUGGGGGAUGACGGCCUUCGGGUUGUAAACUCCUUUCGCUAGGGACGAAGCGUAUUUGUGACGGUACCUGGAGAAGAAGCACCGGCUAACUACGUG
rnacentral:rRNA from 1 species